rnacentral:lncRNA from 1 species
ACUGAGAGCCCCCGAAUGAACAAUUUAAGUUCUUUGUGCUCGUAUUAAUCGUGAAGGGGAGCUUGCCCUGCCCGUCCUCAUUUUUGACCUUAAGUAAUUCUUCUUUUUGCCCUUUUCCUUUUCAACCUGCCCGUUGAUCGUAUGCUGCAACCUUUAGAACAUGGUCAUGGCCCGCGAGACUCAGCUGCUCGUAAUCGUAGGUCAUGGCAGGGUUCGAUUGGUUGGGA